rnacentral:rRNA from 1 species
AUGCAAGUCAGGGGCAGCACAAGGAGCAAUCUGAGGUGGCGACCGGCGCACGGGUGAGUAACACGUAUGCAACCUGCCUGUAAGCGGGGAAUAACCCGUUGAAAGACGGACUAAUACCGCAUAAUACUAAAUUACUGCAUGGUAAUUUAUUUAAACAUUUAUGGCUUACAGAUGGGCAUGCGCAUGAUUAGCUAGUUGGAGAGGUAACGGCUCCCCAAGGCAACGAUCAUUAGGGGUUCUGAGAGGAAGGUCCCCCACACUGGUACUGAGACACGGACCAGACUCCUACGGGAGGCAGCAGUGAGGAAUAUUGGUCAAUGGACGAGAGUCUGAACCAGCCAAGUCGCGUGCAGGAAGAAUGUUCCCUAUGGAUUGUAAACUGCUUUUGCAGGGGAAUAAAGUGCUAUCACGUGUGAUGUUUUGUAUGUACUCUGCGAAUAAGGAUCGGCUAACUCCGUGCCAGCCGCGGC